UACGAAGGGGGCUAGCGUUGCUCGGAAUCACUGGGCGUAAAGGGUGCGUAGGCGGGUUUUUAAGUCAGAGGUGAAAUCCUGGAGCUCAACUCCAGAACUGCCUUUGAUACUGAGAAUCUUGAGUACGGGAGAGGUGAGUGGAACUGCGAGUGUAGAGGUGAAAUUCGUAGAUAUUCGCAAGAACACCAGUGGCGAAGGCGGCUCACUGGCCCGGUACUGACGCUGAGGUGCGAAAGCGUGGGGAGCAAACAGG
rnacentral:rRNA from 1 species